rnacentral:rRNA from 1 species
AACCUUCACAAUGUGGGAAACCACGAUGAGGGAACUCCAAGUGCCAGCACCUAGUGUUGGCUUUUCACCUGUGUAAAGAGCAGGUGGAAUAAGGGCCGGGUAAGACGGGUGCCAGCCGCCGCGGUAACACCCGCGGCCCGAGUGGUGACCAUUUUUAUUGAGCUUAAAGCGUCCGUAGCCGGUCUGGUAAAUCUCUGGGUAAAUCGGACGGCUUAACCGUUCGAAUUCCAGGGAAACUGCUAGACUUGGGGCCGGGAGAAGCUAGAGGUACUCCAGGGGAAGAAGUAAAAUUCUGUAAUCCUUGGAGGACCACCAGUGGCGAAAGCGUCUAGCUAGAACGGACCCGACGGUGAGGGACGAAGCCCUGGGGCGCGAACCGGAUUAGAUACCCGGGUAGUCCAGGGUGUAAACGAUGUGGGCUUGGUGUCGGAAGUCCUACGCGGGCAUCCGGUGCCGUAGAUAAAUUGUUAAGCCCACCGCUUGGGAAGUACGUGCGCAAGCAUGAAACUUAA